AUGCCUUAAAAUACAUUCGCUUGAAAACAAGAAAAAAAAACGGCAAUAUCAAUGUUUGUUCCUGUUGAGACACCGUAUCAACAACAUAGCCAGUACACUUCCUCAAAAUAGCCAGAAAUAAUAUUUCCUGUUGAGAUACCGUAUCAACAACAUAUUAAUCCAUGACAAUUCAAGAAAUCUGUCAUUCAUUUUGACGUUUUUGCAGAGUAAUCUUAGUCGCACAAUUUUACAUCUAAGAUGUUUGAUGCAGUAUUCUCAAGUGACAAAUGUGUAUAAAAACGAGUUGUCUGUCAUUAAAUGACAACAAACACUUCAUUGAAGAAUCCAUACUGUCGACCAAUCACUGACGAAGGGAUGUAGAUUUUGGCUACCGAACUUCGACAAGCCCCAAGAAAAAACUAUGUGUGCUCAAUAAGCCGAAAAACCCUUGCUAAAUGCUGCUGAACACCAAAACGAACAAAUUGCCACGUGAAUGCAGUAAUAUAGAAGCUUACUGCUCGAUUGUACAGCACAGUCCUUUAUUGUGCAGUAUAUCGUGUGAAGAGAAGAGUUCAGGAUGUUUAUUCAUUCUGGGCCACGCGAAUUAGUUGUGCAUUGACAAUGAAUCUUACCGUCAAGUCAUGCUUGCAAGCAUCUGGAGUGAGAGUUGACUCGAUUACAUGACACCUAAACAGAGAUAAUCUGCUCUCAAUCAGCUGAUGAAGGACUGACCUGUACAUUUGACAUUAAGCCUUCAUUGGUAAACUACAGAUUGAUGCAACCUUUUGCAUUUAUUCACAUGAUCAUUUAACCCUAAGCUGCCACUGGUCCAUGACUAACUUCCAGUGCCCCCAGUCCAAACUGGCUGUUUCUCUGUGCUCUCCGUCUGCCUUAUUUGUGAAUUAACGUCCUACUUUCCUCCCUGCGUUGGCCCCCUGCUGAGUGGUUUGAUUGAUGGUCCAACAGCCUCAGUGUUUCUCCAGCUGCCUUUAGUCUUAGCAGAGCUGGAUAUAGUCAUCAGCUCCAAGAUGCUCUACACCUGAUCUGUCUGAGUGAGCACGCGAAGAGAGUGACCCUGUAUCCGUAGCGUGUUUGGGUGGAUCCAUCUGAGGGGCACGGUGGAUGAGAUAUGGUACUCUUUGUACCCAAUGACAGGAUGGGUGUGAUGCAGUCCGACUUACUAGAUGUAACAUAGUAUAGUGUGAUAGAUAGACCAGACCACAACCACACCCUAUGUCGAGAAGCUGAGCUGAAGUUUACCACAAAUAAAUGUGUCAGAAAGAUGGGUGUAAAGAUUACCAGCAUGAUUUAGAUCUAUAAACAGGAACAAUACCAGUGAAAACAUCCACCUGCCUGCUCGAAAUGUCAUAAAAGCAAGCUAAAGAUCCAUUUCAGCCAUACCCAUCAAAUAAAUUGUGUCGAACAAUAACAUCUUUCGUAGAAGCUCAGUCGACUGCAGACUGCCUUAAAAUGUGUCAUAAAAUGGCUUGACGGUGAGCAAACAAAUCACUAUAAAUUACAGUAUAACACUUUAUGUGAAAUGUUAAACAUUUGCACAUUGACUUUGCUCCUACACGCACAAUCACAGCUGAAGCCCAACUAAUGAGGCCAACAGAUACAGUAGCAAAAAAAAAAGCCUAACAAAAUUCUUAGAUUCUCAGCUGGACAUUCAAAUAUGACCCCGUGACUCACAAAGCUCUAGCAGGCUCUAGACAGCACCCAUAAAACCAGGCUGCGCUGAGCCCUGAAGGACUGCAGUUGUUAGCCACUGACCUGACCUACAAUAUUGACUCCUAGACUCUAUAUAUAGCCCUGACUGGCAGCUUCCUGAGGCGUGUGGUGCAUCAAGGCCCUGAUGACUGACUUUGCAACUUCAAAGCAGCAGAGCCUACCAUCACCUCAGUGCUAUCCUGAGAUCCUUCUCAAUCGAAUUACUGUACGUCUUAAUAAUGGCCAGAGAGGCAGAUCGCAAUAAAUCUGCUUCAAUACAGAAACAGACCUAUUUUAUGCAGCCAUUUCCCUGUGUGCCAAUUUUCUUUAUCAGAGGUGAUGUUUGAAUGGAGGAUGUUGACUUCAAAGAUAAAACAGGUGAGAUCAAAACGUUUGAUUAAAAUGAAUAUGUGUUUGGGGAGGUGGGGGUACAGAUUGUCGGUUGCGUAAUGUCGCUUUGGUGGAGAACUGGGACAGUAUCUGGGACUUUGACAUACAUCAGAGAGGGGACACAAUGUGUUUGAAGUUCUAAAUCCAUGGUGGAGAGCACGUACAUAUUGAGAGAAGCUAAAAACAUUGCAGAGGGAGAGACAGUGAUUACUCAUUUUCUGUUACAUAUUUUUAAAUAUGUAUUUAAAUUACUUUAAGUAUUUUGUCAUUUUAAUUACAUUGGGCUGAAUGACACGUUAAUGUAUUUUGUAAAAAGAUACUUUCAAGAGCUGUAAUUUCUAUUUUCUAAAUACAAAAUACUUUUCUAUACCAUUCUUUGUAGCAGUUAACUUUUUUGGGCUCCCUUUCAGACUGCAUUGGUAUCAGAAGUCUGAUGGCAAUAUGGUGUGAUAGGAGUAUCUGCUAAAUUAACUAAAUAUAAAUAUAUAUGUAAAAAUUAACAAUUGCAAAGCAUGCUGAGUAUUAUUCUAAUGAGAGCCGCCCUGAAACAAGAACAAUAAUAAUACCCAGUGUGCUUUGCAGUUGUUCAUUUUCACAUAUACAUUGCCAUUUUGGUAAUUUAGCAGACACUGUUUUCCAGUACAUUCAACUAAAAUAAAUGAACAACAACAUCACAGUCAGAGCAAAUAUAAAGUUUAUGUAAACUGUUACUGAGAAUGUUGGUGCUGUUUAGUUGGCUACUUGCAAAUGUAGUGUAAA